rnacentral:rRNA from 1 species
UACGGGGGGGGCAAGCGUUGUUCGGAAUUACUGGGCGUAAAGGGCUCGUAGGCGGCCAACUAAGUCAGACGUGAAAUCCCUCGGCUUAACCGGGGAACUGCGUCUGAUACUGGAUGGCUUGAAUCCGGGAGAGGGAUGCGGAAUUCCAGGUGUAGCGGUGAAAUGCGUAGAUAUCUGGAGGAACACCGGUGGCGAAGGCGGCAUCCUGGACCGGCAUUGACGCUGAUGCGCGAAAGCCAGGGGAGCAAACGGG